GUCCCUGUAGCGCAAUGGAUAGUGCGUUGGACUUCUAAUCCAAAGUUUUCGAAUCCCACCUGGGAUG